rnacentral:rRNA from 1 species
UACGAAGGGGGCUAGCGUUGCUCGGAAUCACUGGGCGUAAAGGGUGCGUAGGCGGGUCUUUAAGUCAGGGGUGAAAUCCUGGAGCUCAACUCCAGAACUGCCUUUGAUACUGAGGAUCUUGAGUUCAGGAGAGGUGAGUGGAAUUCCGAGUGUAGAGGUGAAAUUCGUAGAUAUUCGGAAGAACACCAGUGGCGAAGGCGGCUCACUGGCUCGAUACUGACGCUGAGGUGCGAAAGCGUGGGGAGCAAACAGG